rnacentral:rRNA from 1 species
UGCCAGCCGCCGCGGUAAUACGAAGGGCCCGAGCGUUACUCGGAAUCACUGGGCUUAAAGCGUACGCAGGCGGACCGUCAGGCAUCGUGUGAAAUCCCUCCGCUCAACGGAGGAACUGCACGGUGAACCGUCGGCCUUGAGACAAGUAGGGGCGAUCGGAACGCUAGGUGGAGUGGUGGAAUGCGUUGAUAUCUAGCGGAACGCCGAAGGAGAAAUCAGGUCGCUGGGCUUGUUCUGACGCUGAGGUACGAAAGCGUGGGGAGCGAACGGGAUUAGAUA